rnacentral:piRNA from 1 species
UCCCAAGCACCAUUCAGUCCUCUUGCUGCC